rnacentral:rRNA from 1 species
AGAGUUUGAUCCUGGCUCAGAUUGAACGCUGGCGGCAUGCCUUACACAUGCAAGUCGAACGGUAACGCGGGGGCAACCCUGGCGACGAGUGGCGAACGGGUGAGUAAUACAUCGGAACAUAUCCAGUAGCGGGGGAUAACCUAUCGAAAGAUGGACUAAUACCGCAUACGAUCUACGGAUGAAAGCAGGGGACCGCAAGGCCUUGCACUAUUGGAGUGGCCGAUGUCGGAUUAGCUAGUUGGUGGGGUAAAAGCUUACCAAGGCGACGAUCCGUAGCUGGUCUGAGAGGACGAUCAGCCACACUGGGACUGAGACACGGUCCAGACUCCUACGGGAGGCAGCAGUGGGGAAUUUUGGACAAUGGGCGCAAGCCUGAUCCAGCCAUGCCGCGUGAGUGAAGAAGGCCUUCGGGUUGUAAAGCUCUUUCGGUGAAGACGAAACGGUUCAUGCUAAUAACGUGAACUAAUGACGGUACUCACAGAAGAAGCACCGGCUAACUACGUGCCAGCAGCCGCGGUAAUACGUAGGGUGCAGGCGUUAAUCGGAAUUACUGGGCGUAAAGCGUGCGCAGGCGGUUUGCUAAGACAGGUGUGAAAUCCCCCGGGCUUAACCUGGGAAUUGCGCUUGUAACUGGCAAGCUAGAGUGUGGCAGAGGGGGGUGGAAUUCCACGUGUAGCAGUGAAAUGCGUAGAUAUGUGGAGGAACACCGAUGGCGAAGGCAGCCCCCUGGGUUAACACUGACGCUCAUGCACGAAAGCGUGGGGAGCAAACAGGAUUAGAUACCCUGGUAGUCCACGCCCUAAACUAUGUCAACUAGUUGUCGGGGAAGAAAUUCCUUGGUAACGAAGCUAACGCGUGAAGUUGACCGCCUGGGGAGUACGGCCGCAAGGUUAAAACUCAAAGGAAUUGACGGGGACCCGCACAAGCGGUGGAUUAUGUGGAUUAAUUCGAUGCAACGCGAAAAACCUUACCUACCCUUGACAUGCUAGGAAGCCCGCAGAGAUGUGGGUGUGCCCGAAAGGGAACCUAGACACAGGUGCUGCAUGGCUGUCGUCAGCUCGUGUCGUGAGAUGUUGGGUUAAGUCCCGCAACGAGCGCAACCCUUGCCAUUAGUUGCUACAUUCAGUUGGGCACUCUAAUGGGACCGCCGGUGACAAACCGGAGGAAGGUGGGGAUGACGUCAAGUCCUCAUGGCCCUUAUAGGUAGGGCUUCACACGUAAUACAAUGGUCGGUACAGAGGGCUGCCAACCCGCAAGGGGGAGCUAAUCCCAGAAAGCCGAUCGUAGUCCGGAUUGUAGUCUGCAACUCGACUGCAUGAAGCCGGAAUCGCUAGUAAUCGCGGAUCAGCAUGUCGCGGUGAAUACGUUCCCGGGUCUUGUACACACCGCCCGUCACACCAUGGGAGUGGGUUCCACCAGAAGUAGUUAGCCUAACCGCAAGGAGGGCGAUUACCACGGUGAGAUUCAUGACUGGGGUGAAGUCGUAACAAGGUA